CCUACGGGUGGCUGCAGUCGAGAAUCUUUCACAAUGGGGGCAACCCUGAUGGAGCGACGCCGCGUGGAGGAUAAGGUCUUCGGAUUGUAAACUCCUGUCAUGCGAGAACAAGGUUGCAGGGCUAACACCUUUGCAAAUUGAUGGUACCGCAAGAGGAAGAGACGGCUAACUCUGUGCCAGCAGCCGCGGUAAUACAGAGGUCUCAUGAGUUGGUCUGAAUCACUGGGCGGAAAGGGUGCGUAGCUGGCGUGAAAGCCCGGGGCUCAACCUCGGAAUUGCAUCCGAUACUGCCAUGCUGGAGUACUGAAGAGGUGACUAGAAUUCUAGGUGUAGCAGUGAAAUGCGUAGAUAUCUAGAGGAAUACCAACGGCGAAGGCAGGUCACUGGGCAGUUACUGACACUGAGGCACGAAGGCCAGGGGAGCAAACGGGAUUAGAUACCCCUGUAGUC
rnacentral:rRNA from 1 species